AGAGUAGUGAUGCUGGCAAUUCAGAUCUGCCAAAGAGAAGCCAUCAAGUUCUUAUUUUAACUGAAAAGGGGAAAGUUCUCUACUUAAGAAAGAAAAAAAAUAUGCUGCGUUUGCCAAGAUCUACAUCGCUGCUGUUUCACCAAUUAAUGAAGCAAAUAAGUUAUUAUCUGACUGACUACAGGCAGAGAAUCUCGGCAGUUAUUGACCACUGUGCCCUACGAGAUGACAACGGCCUCUGUGUUAUUAGAGAAAAUUAGAGGCAAUUGUCUCAAUCAAGAUUGAACUUGGUCUCAAGUGUCCUGAAUCCAGUGAUUAUCUAAUCUGUGAUACAAAGACUAACUACCUUGCCUCCAUUUUGAGAAACCCGGAAGUGCUGCUAUUUUAGUUCCAGAGCUUCUCACAGGAAGGCUUAAGAUCUAAGAAGUUGAGCCACCUCAGCCUGGUUCAGAAGCCUUGCUGGAAAGAUGAUUGCUGGAGAGGUGAUGCAAUCAUUUGGAAAAUAGAAGUUCAAAAGAAAACAUCAGGCACAGAAGGCAGCAUAUGACUGAGUCCUUCUGGCUCUUACAGGCUUCAGAUACACUUUUACAAGUGCCCUCCAUAAUAAAUGUGAACUUCAAGCUUCAUACAGAGGUUCCUGACCAAGGGGAGUAAAGGAGAUGGAAUGAAGCUUGUGUGCUGUACUUCAAGUCAUGCAUCCAGUACCAUUUUCCUGCACAUAAAGCGCUAUCUAUUCAUUAAGAUUUCUAGUUGCAGAGCUGGAUCCAUCCAUAAAAAGAACCAUUUUUCUAAUUUAUAGAAAGAUGUCUCAUGGCCUAGAAACAGGCCUUGAGCAAGAGCAAGCCCUGCCUUUCUCAUAUAGAAUAUGUACUGUUUUCUU
ensembl:lncRNA LINC02336 long intergenic non-protein coding RNA 2336